CCAAGGUGUGUUAGUGAUGACA
rnacentral:miRNA from 3 species